rnacentral:ncRNA from 1 species
CAUAUAAAUUUUAGUAAAAUUUUUUAUUUAAAUAAUAAUAAACUUAAAAUUAUAGUAAUUAAUAUUAAAUAUAUAAGAAAUUAUGAUUUAGUAAUAUAAAAAAUAUAAACAAAUAUUGUGCCAGCAGUUGCGGUUAUACAAAUUAUAAAUUAAAUUUUAUUGGUUUUUAAUAAAUUUAAUAAAAAAAUUAAAUAAAAAAUUAAAUUAUUAAGUGAAAUUUUAAUUUAAAAAAAUUUAAUUUGAAAUGAUUUAAUAAAUUUUAUAAAAAACUAGGAUUAGAUACCCUAUUAUUAGAAUGUAAAAUCUUUACCAAAGUAAUAAAUAAUUAUUUAUUGAAAUUUAAAUAAUUUGGCGGUAUUUUAGUUAAUUUAGAGGAAUCUGUCUAAUUAUUGAUAAUCCACGAAUAAAUUUACUUAAAUUAAAAAUUUAUAUAUCGUUGUUAAAAAAAUAUUUUUUAUAAAUAUUAAUAUUUUAAAAUUUAAAAAUAAAAUUAAAUCAGAUCAAGAUGUAGUUUAUAUUUAAGAAUAUGAUGGAUUACAAUAAAAUUAUUUUUGGAUAUUAAAAUUAAAAUUUUAAUUGAAAUUGGAUUUAAAUGUAAUUUUAUAUAGUUUUUUAAAAUGAUUUUUAAUUAAAAUAUGUACAUAUUGCCCGUCGCUUUCAUAUUAAAAUUGAAAUAAGUCGUAACAAAGUAGAGAUACUGGAAAGUGUUUCUAGAAAGAU